GAGUUUGAUCAUGGCUCAGAACGAACGCUGGCGGCAGGCCUAACACAUGCAAGUCGAACGAUCUCUUCGGAGAUAGUGGCGCACGGGUGAGUAACGCGUGGGAAUUUGCCUUAAGGUACGGAACAACAGCUGGAAACGGCUGCUAAUACCGUAUGACGUCUACGGACCAAAGAUUUAUCGCCUUAAGAUGAGCCCGCGUUAGAUUAGCUAGAUGGUGGGGUAACGGCCUACCAUGGCGACGAUCUAUAGCUGGUCUGAGAGGAUGAUCAGCCACACUGGGACUGAGACACGGCCCAGACUCCUACGGGAGGCAGCAGUGGGGAAUAUUGGACAAUGGGGGCAACCCUGAUCCAGCCAUGCCGCGUGAGUGAUGAAGGCUUUAGGGUUGUAAAACUCUUUCAGCGGUGACGAUAAUGACGGUAACCGCAGAAGAAGCCCCGGCUAACUCCGUGCCAGCAGCCGCGGUAAUACGGAGGGGGCUAGCGUUGUUCGGAAUUACUGGGCGUAAAGCGCGCGUAGGCGGAUUAACAAGUUGGGGGUGAAAGCCCGGGGCUUAACCUCGGAACUGCCUUCAAAA
rnacentral:rRNA from 1 species